AUUAGAUACCCUGUUAGGUCGCACAGUUAAACGAUGAAUGCUCGUCCAUUGCGACAGACAGUCAGUGACCAAGGGGAAAAUAUUAAAGCAUUUCCACCUGGGGAGUACGCCGGGCAACGGUGAAACUCAAAGGGAAUUGACGGGGGCCCGCACAAGCGGAGGAACAUGUGGUUUAAUUCGAUGAUACGCGAGGAACCUUACCCGGGCUUGAAUUGCAGAUGAAGGAUACAGAGAUGUUGACGCCCUUCGGGGCAUCUGUGAAGGUGCUGCAUGGUUGUCGUCAGCUCGUGCCGUGAGGUGUCGGCUUAAGUGCCAUAACGAGCGCAACCCUUGCUGUCAGUUGCCAUCAGGUAGAGCUGGGCACUCUGGCGGGACUGCCAUCGCAAGAUGUGAGGAAGGUGGGGAUGACGUCAAAUCAGCACGGCCCUUACGUCCGGGGCUACACACGUGUUACAAUGGGGGGUACAGAAUGUUGCUUACGGGUGACCGUUGGCGGAUCAUUAAAUCCCCUCUCAGUUCGGACUGGAGUCUGCAACCCGACUCCACGAAGCUGGAUUCGCUAGUAAUCGCGCAUCAGCCAUGGCGCGGUGAAUACGUUCCCGGGCCUUGUACACACCGCCCGUCAAGCCAUGAAAGCCGGGGGCGCCUGAAGUCCGUUACCGCAAGGAUCGGCCUAGGGCGAAACUGGUAAUUGGGGCUAAGUCGUAACAAGGUAGCCGUA
rnacentral:rRNA from 1 species